rnacentral:tRNA from 1 species
AGGGGAAUCGUCUAAUGGUAGGACAACGGACUCUGACUCCGUCAAUCUAGGUUCGAAUCCUAGUUCCCCUGCCA